CCAACAAGACAACUCUAGCCUGGCUGCUGGACACAUACCCAUUCCUGCCACCGGAGGAACGCCCUGUGGAGUGCACCAUUCACCCUGGCGAGGUGCUGUAUUUCCCCGAUCGCUGGUGGCACGCCACCCUCAACUUGGACACAAGUGUCUUCAUCUCCACCUUCCUGGGGUAGAAACUCAGGGCUUUGCCUACCAGCCUGCCAUUCCUCAGGAGCUGAAUUGUUCACUUCCCUCCCGCCAAAGCCCUGGGAUGCUGCUGGUGAAUUCUAGCCAUCUCUCUCCACUGUAACCCUGCAGGCAGAGCUGGACUCUGGCAGUGGGGCUGAUCCAGCUCUAAUCCAUCUAGGAUUUAUCCUGGUCUAUAUG
rnacentral:lncRNA from 1 species